rnacentral:rRNA from 1 species
AGAGUUUGAUCCUGGCUCAGGACGAACGCUGGCGGUGUGCUUCACACAUGCAAGUCGAGCGAAUGAAGUAGGUAGCUUGCUACUUAUGGAUUUAGCGGCGGACGGGUGAGUAAUAUAUAGGAAUCUGCCUUAGAGCGGGGAACAACAGACCGAAAGGUUUGCUAAUGCCCCAUAGGUAUGCAGUCUUCGGAUUGUAUAUUAAAGGAGUAAUCCACUCUAAGAUGAGCCUGUAUCCGAUUAGCUAGUUGGCGGGGUAAAGGCCCACCAAGGCUACGAUCGGUAGUUGGUCUGAGAGGAUGAUCAGCCACAAUGGGACUGAGACACGGCCCAUACUCCUACGGGAGGCAGCAGUGGGGAAUUUUACACAAUGGGGGAAACCCUGAUGUAGCGACACCGCGUGAACGAAGAAGCCUUUUGGGGUGUAAAGUUCUGUCGGCUGGAACGAAAAAAAUGACGGUACCAGCAAAGGAAGCAUCGGCUAACUACGUGCCAGCAGCCGCGGUAAGACGUAGGAUGCAAGCGUUGUCCGGAUUUAUUGGGCGUAAAGAGUCCGUAGGCGGUUAUUUAAGUCUGAUGUUAAAUACUGUGGCCCAACCACAGAACUGCAUUGGAUACUGGAUGACUUGAGUGCGGUAGAGGCAAGUGGAAUUCCCAGUGUAGCGGUGAAAUGCGUAGA